AGUCACUGCUAUUGGGGUUCGGCUAAGCCAUGCGAGCGGAGGGCGCGGUCGCAAGAUCGUGGCCCCGCACACGGCUCAGUAACACGUAGUCAACCUACCCUUGGGACGGGGACAACGCCGGGAAACUGGCGAUAAUCCCCGAUAGGUGAGGGACGCUGGGAUGCUUCUUCGCUCAAAGCUCCGGCGCCCGAGGAUGGGACUGCGGCCUAUCAGGCUGUUGGUGGUGUGACGGACCACCAAACCUACGACGGGUACGGGCGAUGGGAGUCGGAGCCUGGAGAUGGGGACUGAGACAAGGCCCCAGGCCCUACGGGGCGCAGCAGGCGCGAAAACUCCGCAAUGCGCGCAGGCGUGACGGGGGAACCCCAAGUGCCGUUGGUCUUUUGAUCGACGGCUUUUCGGAAGUCCAAUAAGCUUCCGGAAUAAGGGCUGGGCAAGACUGGUGCCAGCCGCCGCGGUAACACCAGCAGCCCAAGUGGUGGCCGCGAUUAUUGGGCCUAAAGCGCUCGUAGCCGGAUCAGCAAGUCCUUUGUGAAAUCGGGCCGCCCAACGGUUCGGCGUGCAAAGGAUACUGUUGGUCUUGAGACCGGGAGAGGUCGGAGGUACUCUUGGGGUAGCGGUGAAAUGCUGUAAUCCUGGGGGGACCACCAGUGGCGAAGGCGUCCGACCAGAACGGAUCUGACGGUGAGGGGCGAAGGCUAGGGGAGCGAACGGGAUUAGAUACCCCGGUAGUCCUAGCUGUAAAGCAUGCGGGCCAGGUGUCUAGCGCUCCUUGAGGGCGCUAUGUGCCGGAGGGAAGCCGUUAAGCCCGCCGCCUGGGAAGUACGGCCGCAAGGCUGAAACUUAAAGAAAUUGGCGGGGGAGCACCACAAGGGGUGGAACCUGCGGUUC
rnacentral:rRNA from 1 species